UCCGUAGGUGAACCUGCGGAGGGAUCAUUACUGAGUUACCGCUCUAUAACCCUUUGUGAACAUACCUAACCGUUGCUUCGGCGGGCAGGGGAAGCCUCUCGCGGGCCUCCCCUCCCGGCGCCGGCCCCCACCACGGGGACGGGGCGCCCGCCGGAGGAAACCAAACUCUAUUUACACGACGUCUCUUCUGAGUGGCACAAGCAAAUAAUUAAAACUUUUAACAACGGAUCUCUUGGUUCUGGCAUCGAUGAAGAACGCAGCGAAAUGCGAUAAGUAAUGUGAAUUGCAGAAUUCAGUGAAUCAUCGAAUCUUUGAACGCACAUUGCGCUCGCCAGCAUUCUGGCGAGCAUGCCUGUUCGAGCGUCAUUUCAACCCUCAAGCACCGCUUGGUUUUGGGGCCCCACGGCACACGUGGGCCCUUAAAGGUAGUGGCGGACCCUCCCGGAGCCUCCUUUGCGUAGUAACUAACGUCUCGCACUGGGAUCCGGAGGGACUCUUGCCGUAAAACCCCCCAAUUUUUUACAGGUUGACCUCGGAUCAGGUAGGAAUACCCGCUGAACUUAAGCAUAUCAAUAAGCGGAGGA
rnacentral:rRNA from 1 species